UAGUCCCCCAUGCUCUAGAGUAGAACCUCGUUGUUUAUCCAUUCCAUAUAUAAAAGAGUUUGCAUAUACUGUGUGAUAUUAGCUUAUGCCUCAUAUAUAAGAGUUCUUCUGUCUUUGUACUAAAAGAAGGAGAACUGGGAGACAGAUACACAUGUCCCACAUCAUGUCAUUUUUGUCAUUUUUUUCUCUGUGUAUGUGUGUGUGUGUGGUGCUGCUCCUGAAGCAUGUGGAAGUUCUUGGGCCAGAGAUUGAACCUGUGCCACAGCAGUGGCGUGAGCUGCUGCAGUGACAACACCAGGUCCUUAACCUACUGAACCACAAGGGAACUCCUGUUUUUUUUUUUUAAUUGAACGAGUUGCAGACAUUUAACCCUUUGUAUAAAACCUAGAGGUCUGGCUUCUUUUGACCAUCAGAGGGUCUGGAGGCAGCGUUUAGCUGGAGUAAACAGCUGCCCCCUGGGUUGGGGCAGAAGCUUUCAAUGUGGCACAGUCUCCACCUUCACUCACGUUUAUACCUGGUUUGCCUCCCUCACUGGCUCACCUGCCUGGCCCCCAUCAGCCCGUGUUUUCAGUGCCCGCUCUGUGGAUGAGGCCUUCCUAGGGGAAUGUCACUGUCAGCAAUCAAGGUGUUUCCUAUCCUCUUAACUUUCACCAGAUGACUCGCUUCUUUUGUGGAGACACAGAGCAGUGUUUUCUCCAAAUUCAAAACCUUUUCCUUGUCACUUCCUAAGAGAUUUAGGAGGCAGAAGGAUGGCAAGAUGAAAUGGACAGGGACAGGACAGCAGCAUGGAUGUUGCUGCCAGUCUCAUCCCCUCGACUCCAGCACCUAUUCAGAAAGAAGAGAGGAGAGGGGUCUGAAUAGGGGGACCAGCCUGAGAAACCAGGGGCUUCCAAGGAGGGGUGGGAGGUCGGGGCCUCCUGAGGGAUGGCAGUCUGGCGACCACGGUACCUCCUUCAUCCCUGGGGCCGACACCAGCCCUAUUUAUAACUCAGCUCUCAGCGUCCUUCAUGUUAAAUCCACAACUGAGAAGCCUGCAGGGUUGGAUGUGGAAAGUAGCUUCCAAGACCUCUGGGCUAGAAAGCUGCAUCCCGCCCCUGCAAGGGCCCUGGACUGGGGGCCAGAAAACUGGGGUUCUUGUUUGGGCCCUAGAUCUGUCGCUGAUGGGUUGCAUCUGCUUUGUAAGUUCUGCAGCUGAGUUAGGGUGUUUUCAUCAAAUCUUAGAAGGGGCUGUUCUGAGGAUCCAGUGAGAUGACUCAGCUAAAGAUAAAGAUAUAAAUUUAGAUAUAGACACAGUCAUUGGCACAGAUAAGACACAGAUACAGACAUAGAAACAGAUAUUGAUAUAUAGACAUACCUAGAUAGCAUGAAAGAGAAUUCAGAUAUGUCACUCUUACUAGAUGUGUAACUCAUGGAGAUCCAUGCUGAUGGGUCCAAGGCCUUGAGGUGAGAGAGAAUACAUCAGGAUUCAUCACUAGAGCAACUAUAGUGAAGUCAGGUGUAUGUGCUGAAGGAUAAUGGGGCAGGAUUUUAUUACCCACUAUUUCCAGGUAGUACAAUGGGCAUGUGGACUAGGAAGCCGUCACUGCGUUGGACGUUGGCCUUGCAAUGCAAACACCACCCCAUCCCACUCAGGACACGCCUGGGAAGGCACUCAGCUCAUUGAAAGAGCCCAUCAGUUUUGCUUCUUCUCUGUGACCCAUUCUGGGGAGCUGUGACCAACAGCAUAGCGGUAACUUCAGGCCCGCAAGAAGAGGGUGAAAAGUAGAUACAGUUAGCUCAUCAACUUGGAAAUGCCUUCAACAUGAAACGAAGAGUCAUCCUCAAAUUUUGCAGGAAAGAAGAGCCCCCUUUUGUUUGGUAAGAUGUCCAAAUAUUUGGAAAUAGUUGAAUCGAAAAGAAAAAUACAAGAAGUAUUUUUGUAUUUAAUUUGUAAUGUGUAAUCAAUUUACUUAACACAUUUAAUUUGUAGUAAGUGUACUACAUUUGAUUUUGUAGUUAAUAUACACCAAAGAUGCCCAACUGAAAUGCAGCAUUGCUCUGCAGAGCUGCGUAAAUACCAGCGACAGAUCCCAUGACCCAUGCAGACUGAAUCUAAUCAUUUGAGUAUUUGUUUCAAUACCACCUGUCCCUCUUCAUAUACUUCCUGAAUGUUGGUUUUGGUUCCUGAAUAUGGGAGAGGCAGCUGAAAG